AAGAAAGUACGUAAGAGCUGCUAACUCAUACCACCAUGUAUAAAAACAUGGCUUUCUUA
rnacentral:tRNA from 1 species